rnacentral:rRNA from 1 species
UGGGGAAUUUUGGACAAUGGGCGAAAGCCUGAUCCAGCAAUGCCGCGUGUGUGAAGAAGGCCUUCGGGUUGUAAAGCACUUUUGUCCGGAAAGAAAUCCUUGGCUCUAAUACAGUCGGGGGAUGACGGUACCGGAAGAAUAAGCACCGGCUAACUACGUGCCAGCAGCCGCGGUAAUACGUAGGGUGCAAGCGUUAAUCGGAAUUACUGGGCGUAAAGCGUGCGCAGGCGGUUUGCUAAGACCGAUGUGAAAUCCCCGGGCUCAGCCUGGGAACUGCAUUGGUGACUGGCAGGCUAGAGUAUGGCAGAGGGGGGUAGAAUUCCACGUGUAGCAGUGAAAUGCGUAGAGAUGUGGAGGAAUACCGAUGGCGAAGGCAGCCCCUGGGCCAAUACUGACGCUCAUGCACGAAAGCGUGGGGAGCAAAACAGGAUUAGAUACCCUGGUAGUCCACGCCCUAAAACGAUGUCAACUAGUUGUU